AUACUUACCUGGCGGGGGAGAUACCAUGAUCAUAAAGGUGGUUUUCCCAGGGCGAGGCUUAUCCAUUGCACUCCGGAUGUGCUGACCCCUGCAAUUUCCCCAAAUGUGGGAAACUCGACUGCAUAAUUUGUGGUAGUGGGGGACUGCGUUCGCGCUCUCCCCUG
rnacentral:snRNA from 1 species